GUGCAUGGGAGCUAAGACAUCCAAGUGCUGCUCACGCUCUGGAAGUGUUCUGCAAGACCCUCAGCAAUGUCUGUCCUCCUUACAUACAUGUUUUGUUGGUCAGGAUGUCAGCUGCAGUUAGAAAUGAAGCCACAAGCUGCUGCACCCUAAAGCCUUUCAAUUUUGCUUUGGAGGGCAAGAACAAGCCUUAGUUUAUUAGUUUAGAUGGAAUGGUAAACUACGGCUUGCACUAAGCAGGAAGAAACUGAUUGAAUCUGUACAAGCAAAGGAAAAAGGAGGAGGGAGCAUUGUGUCUGGUUCAGAGGAACAGGAAGAUUACAUCUGAACUGACCUAGUCUGGAUAGGCUCCAUGGCCAGCUCACACUUCUGGAGCCUCUGGCUGGUCGCUCUUGUGAUCAGCUGUCAUGGCAGCACAUGGAACAGAAAACUGGUGCGAGGAUAUGAGACGCACCAUAUCUCAACUUGCUCUGAAGUACACAGCAAAAUGAAUGAAGCAAACUUCUCAGAUGCUCCUUGACAGUGUGUGAAGGAAUGACUUCGUCCCAUUAUGUUUUAUGAUUUGCUUAGUUUGUUCUGUGUCCCCUCCAGACUCUGCAGGGGUUCAAAGGUAGCAACCCCUAACAGCCAAGUCUGAGGUAAAAGUGGCCUGCUGCAGAGUUUUGGAGGGACAGUUACAAAAUAUUAUGAUUGGUUGUCUCUAGGCAGAGAAAGAAGGUUCUGGCUGCCUGAGGGAAGAAACUCCCUUGACAGUGUGUGAAGGAAUGACUUCCUCCCAUUAUGUUUUAUGGUUUGUUUAGUUUGUUCUGUUUGUUUAGUUUAUCCCUUUGGAGUUGGAUAAAAGGGAGGGUUGAGCAGCCAAGAGGAGGAAGGUUGUGGGAGAUUAGAGUUCUGUGAGAGAGAGUGCUGUUGAGUGUUGUGUGAGCUGCAAGGCUGGAACACAAGCAGAGUAGGGUUGGGCUGAAACAGCUAGGGAAGGUAGCAGUGAGGGAGCUGGUCCUACUGGAACCUGUUAGGCCUUGGGAGAGAAGGCUAGCAAGCAGUUCGUUAUUUUAGUCCCACCUCACGCCAACCUGCCCAUUUACCACACGACUGAGUUCUGAUAUAGUUUUUGAAAGACAGAGGAUUCAGUGACUGGGAGUAGAACCAGUCACACAAGCUAAACAUCUUGUUUUGGUGGCAGCGGAUGGUGAGACUGAAGGCCAGCUGCAGCCAAGCCCUCACACUGUGCCAAAACAUUUCUAUCUGUUGCAUCCUCCACACAAAUAAUUUCUUCUUCAAACAUUAUUCACAAAAUGGAAUAAGUACACCUCAGGAAAAAAUGAGCAUAAAGAGUGGUAACAGCAUAGCUAUGUCUGUGCUGCUCACGGGAGAAUGCUGACCUCUGGUGGUUAUCAGCUAUAAUUUAAAAAUAUUCACAGGUUCUAGUCUGGUUAUUCUCCUUGAUGAGCUAGUUUUCUGCAUGCAGGUAUCUUUUUAUGUGGGGGAAUAUUUAAACAUCCACCCUUUGCAUUCCAAAUAGUCACAGAAGGGCUUCACUAUAUGCUUUUUCUGAGCAUGUGGAUCAGCUCACAGACACAUUGAUAACACAUCUUCUGGCAAACACCUGUAUAACUUGCAUUAAAAAGCAUAUGUUGGGUUUCUCCAAUGACUGAAUGAGACUAGCAGUUAUGCACUACAUUGUUUUACUAUAAUUUUUAAACCUGGUUCAUGUAACAGGAUUUUAUAUAAAUGGGACCUUGUCGUUUCUGUAUUCUUCUUAAGAACAGGAUAAUCUAACUCACACAGAAAGAAAAGCACCUGCAAUGCGUUCAGAAGAACAGAAGAGAACAUCAAUAAGGCCAGAUGCUGGACCAGAGCGAUACUGACUUAAUGUAUUUAAUGCCCUGCCAAAGAAGGGAAUACAAAAGAGGUGAUCAGACUUCAGAAAACAACACAACACUGAACCAAAAAUAACAUCUCAAAUCACUAGAGAUUCUUGUAGGAUAAUUUCAAGAUGGGCACAAGAACACAUCUGUAUGGAGACUUCCCCAGAGUUCAGCAGGAUUAGGAACUGCACAAUUAAGUUUGGUUAAUUUCCAUUAUAUAUAAUUUUUCUCAAGCUAGAAAUGCUAUAUAUUCUGUAAACCAUUAUAUACUACUGUUUCCGACCAUGAGCAAAGGUAACACUUUAAUAGAUUAAUCCCUGCUAAGUGAGCAAAGAGGCACAUUUUAAAAUGGCAAUUCUCUUAACAGAGGGAGAGCAACUGAUCCUAUCCAAAUCCAGCACAGCAUUCCUCCAGUGGCUACUGCCGGUGCCUACUUUAUGUUGUUGUUGUUUUUAGAUUGUGAGCCCUUUUGGGACAGGGAACUAUUUUGUUCCCCCACCCCAUAUAAAUCAUGUUGAGAACUUUUUUGUUGAAAAGUGGUAUAUAGAUAUUCAUAUUAUUAAUAAAAGAACAAUAGAUGGUAUUAUCCUAGCCAUCUGGAGGUCAA